rnacentral:rRNA from 1 species
AAUCGUACCCCAAACCGACACAGGUGGUCAGGUAGAGAAUACCAAGGCGCUUGAGAGAACUCGGGUGAAGGAACUAGGCAAAAUGGUGCCGUAACUUCGGGAGAAGGCACGCUGGCAUGUAGGUGAAGUCCCUUGCGGAUGGAGCUGAAGCCAGUCGAAGAUACCAGCUGGCUGCAACUGUUUAAUAAAAACACAGCACUGUGCAAACACGAAAGUGGACGUAUACGGUGUGACGCCUGCCCGGUGCUGGAAGGUUAAUUGAUGGGGUCAGCCGCAAGGCGAAGCUCUUGAUCGAAGCCCCAGUAAACGGCGGCCGUAACUAUAACGGUCCUAAGGUAGCGAAAUUCCUUGUCGGGUAAGUUCCGACCUGCACGAAUGGCGUAAUGAUGGCCAGGCUGUCUCCACCCGAGACUCAGUGAAAUUGAACUCGCUGUGAAGAUGCAGUGUACCCGCGGCAAGACGGAAAGACCCCGUGAACCUUUACUAUAGCUUGACACUGAACAUUGAGCCUUGAUGUGUAGGAUAGGUGGGAGGCUUUGAAGCGUGGACGCCAGUCUGCGUGGAGCCAUCCUUGAAAUACCACCCUUUAAUGUUUGAUGUUCUAACUCGGCCCCAUAAUCUGGGGUGAGGACAGUGUCUGGUGGGUAGUUUGACUGGGGCGGUCUCCUCCCAAAGAGUAACGGAGGAGCACGAAGGUUAGCUAAUCACGGUCGGACAUCGUGAGGUUAGUGCAAAGGCAUAAGCUAGCUUGACUGCGAGAGUGACGGCUCGAGCAGGUACGAAAGUAGGUCUUAGUGAUCCGGUGGUUCUGAAUGGAAGGGCCAUCGCUCAACGGAUAAAAGGUACUCCGGGGAUAACAGGCUGAUACCGCCCAAGAGUUCAUAUCGACGGCGGUGUUUGGCACCUCGAUGUCGGCUCAUCACAUCCUGGGGCUGAAGUAGGUCCCAAGGGUAUGGCUGUUCGCCAUUUAAAGUGGUACGCGAGCUGGGUUUAGAACGUCGUGAGACAGUUCGGUCCCUAUCUGCCGUGGGCGUUGGAAGAUUGAGAGGGGUUGCUCCUAGUACGAGAGGACCGGAGUGAACGCACCACUGGUGUUCGGGUUGUCAUGCCAAUGGCAUUGCCCGGUAGCUAAGUGCGGAAAAGAUAAGCGCUGAAAGCAUCUAAGCGCGAAACUUGCCUCAAGAUGAGUCUUCCCUGGGCCUU